rnacentral:rRNA from 1 species
AGCCGCCGCGGUAAUACCAGCGGCCCUAGUGGUGAUCGUUAUUAUUGGGCCUAAAGCGUCCGUAGCCGGCCCGGUAAAUCUCUGGGUAAAUCGAUGGGCUCAACUCAUCGAAUUCUGGGGAGACUGCUGGGCUUGGGACCGGGAGAGGUCGGAGGUACUACAGGGGUAGGGGUGAAAUCCUGUAAUCCCUGUGGGACCACCGGUGGCGAAGGCGUCCGACCAGAACGGGUCCGACGGUAAGGGACGAAGCCCUGGGGCGCAAACCGGAUUAGAUACCCGGGUAGUCCAGGGUGUAAACGCUGCGCGCUUGGUGUUGGGGGUCCUCCGUGGGCAUCCAGUGCCGGAGAGAAGUUGUUAAGCGCGCCGCCUGGGGAGUACGGUCGCAAGACUGAAACUUAAAGGAAUUGGCGGGGGAGCACAGCAACGGGAGGAGCGUGCGGUUUAAUUGGAUUCAACGCCGGAAAACUCACCAGGGGCGACUGCCACAUGAAAGCCAAGCUGAUGACUUUGCUUGAUUGGUAGAGAGGUGGUGCAUGGCCGUCGUCAGUUCGUACCGUAGGGCGUUCUGUUAAGUCAGAUAACGAACGAGACCCUUGCCCAUAAUUACCAUGUUUCCCUCCGGGGGAACGGGACUUUAUGGGGACCGCUGGUGCAAAAUCAGAGGAAGGAAAGGGCAACGGUAGGUCAGUAUGCCCCGAAUCCCCUGGGCAACACGCGCGCUACAAAGGCCGGGACAGAGGGUUCCGACCUCGAAAGAGGUAGGUAAUCCCGAAACCUGUCCGUAGUUCGGAUCGAGGGCUGCAACCCGCCCUCGUGAAGUUGGAUUCCGUAGUAAUCGCGGGUCAACAUCCCGCGGUGAAUAUGCCCCUGCUCCU